rnacentral:lncRNA from 1 species
GAUCCCCCCGGCGCGGUGCUGCGGAGCGCGGCGGAGCUGUUGCAGAGCCGCUGUGCACUGAGCGCUCGGAGAUCUCCCUCUAAUGGCAGAAACUUUUCCCUUUUGCAGCGCUUUACCCGCAGCCGGAGCGUCUCAUUAGCAUAGCGACCGCGGCCCAAUUGCUCGCCGGCUCCGACCCGCGCCCGUCGCAGUAAAGAAUAAAGCAGCGCGGGGAGAGAUCGGAAAAGUCGGGAGCAGCGCAGACACCGAACCCACCCAACCCCCUUGUGCAGCCCUACGCGGGGUCGGAUCACGCGUGGGAGCUCCGCGGUCCGUCCCGUCCCUCGACGCCCACUCCCGUCCCGCAUAGCGACCCCCCAACAAAAGGGUGCAGCCCCCCCCGUUACCUGCCAGUCCCCCAUCUUGGCGAGGACGGACAUGGCGCUGCGGGCUGCGGCUCCCGCCGCUCACGGGCUGCGGGGAGCGGCGCCGCCGGUGUGCCCGUGGGUGGGGACACCCGUCGGACCCAUCCCUCCGCUUCUUUAGGCCCUGCGGUGCGGCGUCCACUUCGGCUGCCCCGCAGCAGCGCCGGUGAGCGGAGCUCCCCGGGACGGAACAGAAGCCGGGUGGGCAGAGGGGCCGCAGGGAGCGCACCGCCUCUUUCUAAAGACACGUGCGGCUCGUCCUUUUUUCUUUUCUUUUUCUUUCUUUUCUUUUUUCUUUUCCUCUCCCCUCCUCCCCUUUUUUUUCUUCUCUUUUUUGUUUUUGUUUUUGGUGCAUCCCAUGGGGAUCCCGCUCACCACCCGCCCCUUAUUUGCCUCCCUCACCCCAUCCAGCCCCAUCCCAUUCCCAGCUCGGCUCCGGUCCGAAACUCCGUCUCUGGGGUCACAUCCUUGCUCCGAAACGGGAUGCGUGGUGCUGUGCUCUGGGGCUGUCCCGGCUCGGAGCGGGGCUGUAGGAUGCGGUCAGCACAAACAGAGUGCGGAACAGAAGGAAGGAGGAAAAACUGGCUGGGUAUUAAAAAACACUAA